rnacentral:rRNA from 1 species
AUGAACGCUGGCGGCGCGCCUAACACAUGCAAGUCGAACGGCACCUGCCCUCGGGCAGAAGCGAGUGGCGAACGGCUGAGUAACACGUGGAGAACCUGCCCCCUCCCUCCGGGAUAGCCGCCCGAAAGGACGGGUAAUACCGGAUACCCCCGGGCGCCGCAUGGCGCCCGGGCUAAAGCCCCGACGGGAGGGGAUGGCUCCGCGGCCCAUCAGGUAGACGGCGGGGUGACGGCCCACCGUGCCGACAACGGGUAGCCGGGUUGAGAGACCGACCGGCCAGAUUGGGACUGAGACACGGCCCAGACUCCUACGGGAGGCAGCAGUGGGGAAUCUUGCGCAAUGGGGGGAACCCUGACGCAGCGACGCCGCGUGCGGGACGGAGGCCUUCGGGUCGUAAACCGCUUUCAGCAGGGAAGAGUCAAGACUGUACCUGCAGAAGAAGCCCCGGCUAACUACGUGCCAGCAGCCGCGGUAAUACGUAGGGGGCGAGCGUUAUCCGGAUUCAUUGGGCGUAAAGCGCGCGUAGGCGGCCCGGCAGGCCGGGGGUCGAAGCGGGGGGCUCAACCCCCCGAAGCCCCCGGAACCUCCGCGGCUUGGGUCCGGUAGGGGAGGGUGGAACACCCGGUGUAGCGGUGGAAUGCGCAGAUAUCGGGUGGAACACCGGUGGCGAAGGCGGCCCUCUGGGCCGAGACCGACGCUGAGGCGCGAAAGCUGGGGGAGCGAACAGGAUUAGAUACCCUGGUAGUCCCAGCCGUAAACGAUGGACGCUAGGUGUGGGGGGACGAUCCCCCCGUGCCGCAGCCAACGCAUUAAGCGUCCCGCCUGGGGAGUACGGCCGCAAGGCUAAAACUCAAAGGAAUUGACGGGGGCCCGCACAAGCAGCGGAGCAUGUGGCUUAAUUCGAAGCAACGCGAAGAACCUUACCAGGGCUUGACAUAUGGGUGAAGCGGGGGAGACCCCGUGGCCGAGAGGAGCC